UUAAAAAAAAGCUUUCUUCAGGUUUUUUUGUUUUGUUUUUUUUUUUAGAAGCACUCAGCCUUUUAGUUCAUUGUCAUAACCUAUAUUUUAAGUUUGGUGCACAGCUGUAUAAAGAACCAAAACUUACUUGUACCACUUUUUGGAAGUUGAGGUAGUAGAAGAUAUUGGAAGUAUCUGGUUUGUAGUAUUCAAUGGAGUAAGGAGCAAAAUUAAUCUAACCUGCUGUUUGAUUUUAUUUGUUUGAAGUGGUGGCUUUGUAUGCUUUUUCUAAUUUAUUUGUUUAAAUUUACAUUUCCAGUAUACAAAAUCCAUAGGUUUGUCUGUCUACAGAAAUUUGCUUUUGUCUUUCCCUAAGAAGUAACUUGAUUCAGUAAGUAUUCUAAUGUUCUCAGUUGCUGGUCGAUUAGGAGGAAUUAAUCAUUAUAAUGUAAGUACUACAAGGUGUAUUUUUGCAAAUUUUGGAAAAAUGUAUUGCAAUGAACUGAGCAUAGCAAAUAGUAUUGGCCAAAUAUUUGUUUGCAUUUAGAAUUCUCUGUGUGACUGUGUAAGUAAUUACAGGUAAACUAAUUGGAGAGACUGCAGAUGUAGUUCUGAGGCAUCUAUUUUUAAUGUUGAAAAUAAAAAUAGAAAAAUAAAUAUGUUACCAAUUUAGAAGGAAAUUCUUCCAGGCCAAGAGGUGAGCUCUUUCUAAACAAGUGUUACUAGUUAGGUUUAUGUACUCUGCAUAGUCUGUAAGUUUCUAAACUGUCCCAAUACUUGUGAAAUUCCAUGUAAAUAAUACAGUGUAAGACUGAUUAAGAGCAAAAACCAUUGUUGUGAUUUCAAGGAAGUAGAAUGACUGUCCUUAAGGAAGGAUGUGGUACCACUGCAGUACCACUGCAGCUCAUUAAGUCAAUAGUACAACGCAGGACAAAUAUCUGAUUUGAAAUGCCAAUUACAUUUUACAUUUGACUUGGUUUUCAGCAGGUUUCUUACUUUUCUGUACCCUGUUUGAUCUCAGCCUUGCUCCUUAAUAAAAUAUCCAGCUCUGUAUCCCCAUCUGGAGCCUGGGACUGUGAUCAGUGCCUUGCUGUCCCCCGCACUCUGCUUUCACAUUGGGAUGCUGGUUGUCCAGCAUUUCAGCAUGGGGCAAUGAAUGGAUCUGGUACAUUUCAAAAUCCGUUCUGUUCAUAAACUCCACAGCUGGACUUGAAUGGCUUUUUGUUUUCCAUUUUGUGUCUUUCUCAACCAGCUUGUGCCUGCAAAGAGAAGAGUGUUCUGAAAUAUAUGCCUUGAAGCCUUCUGUAAGGAAAUCAGUGAUAAGAAAGGCUGCAUGUUUAAUAAUGCCUUCGUUUAAGAGGUGAUGUGACUGACUCAAAUAAUUGACAACUGAUUUGCUUAAGUAAACUUAACACAAUGUACUCAUACGUUGACUUCAGUUCAGGGGAUAUAUUUAUUUGAAGGGAAAUGUCACUGUUUUCUUUGUGACAAAAAAAAAUUAACAUCUCAUUUGCUGUCAGGAAAAUUAACAUGACAGAGAUGAGAACCGAGUAUGCGGCAGGAACAUGUGGGGGUGUGGGGAGCUCCUGCAGCUUGGCACAUCAAUAGUUUUCAAGCUGGCAGAGCAGCUCUGCGGGAAGGGGAGGCUUGGUUUAUGGAGAGAUGAUAUUCCCAUUAGAGAAACCAGUCAAAGCCGCCGUCGGCACUAGAGGGUGCUGGAGGAACGACUGCAAUGUGGACAACUCGGUGUGUGAAGUCCAGAACCCCCGAAAAUGGGAGCUCGCCAAAGGCGUGGUGCCCCUCAGAGCUCUCAGCUCUGACCCAGCCUUGCCAUAAACAGCACGCUGGUGUUCUAUUGGAUCCGCUGCUGUCAAAGGGAGGGCCGGCACCUUGCAGGGACUCUGCUGUGCGACACUUUCCUCAGCAGUGCUCAACAGCUGAUGGCAAACCAAAUGUAAACACUUCAAUCACUUCUUCAAAGUUUUGUUUUGAAACAUCUCUAAAUAGAAGGAGUAAGCAUACGGUGAGAAUGAGUAAAGGCAAACUUGAUAAAUGGAAAUUUGAAUCUUGAUAGUGAUUUUGAAGCUGGUCUUUAAAAUAACUUCACCUCUCUAUAUUUUGGUGUCUGAUAAAUUGUGAAAGAACAAAUAUUACUGUUUCAGUUUAAUUUAAAUAGCUAAUUUUGAAAGUACUUUUUUCUUUUGAAGAUCCUAAGACUUUAAUACUACAGAAUUCUUGAUUAUGUCAUCCCAUAGUAGUUUGAUUAUACAAGUUAUCUAAGUAACUUGGAAAUAUUGGCCAAUAAGUACUGAAGUACAUUUAGUUUGAUGAUAGAGCUGUUUGGAAUUUUUGUUACCAACAUUUUAAGGUAAGGAGAUAUCAGUCACCUAGUAAGGUGGUAAUGAGAGAAGUGAGAGGUAACAGUAAGAAGCCUUGCAAGUAAAUAAAAUGGCUAUUUCAUAUGCUAUACUUUUCCUGCUUAACAUACUAUUCUUUUCCAUUUCCAAAUUUCAAAUCUUUCACUAGUUUCUUUAUCAGUAUCAGAGGUAAAUUGAUGCUCCCUAACAAUUACCUCUGUCUCUGAAGAAAAUUGUCCCUAGCACAGUCCACAGACUGGUGUAUGGUGUCCUGCUGUUUUGCUGCUGUUAGAGGUGUCUAGGGAGGUAAUGCCCUUUAAUUUCAGCAUGCCAAGAUUCUGCCAUGUGCCCACUUCUAUCUGUCAGAUUCACAUAUCACACAGGUAUUUCCCAUCUCAGGGAUGAAUAUAAAAGAUAUUUGACAUUUGUGGAUAAAUAUUUGGCUUCCACUCUCCCCUGAGACUUGCAGCUGUCAUAAUUUAGGAGAACUCAUGGUUACUGGCUGUGAAAGGCUGGACAGAGCUCCUGCCAGAGUCAUGAAAAUCCUCUCUUUGGUCAGCCAGCAGACUGGCUGUUGAGCAACUUGAGACCCUCCCUUCCCCCAGAGACUGGGUAUUUUUUUACUGCAGUGCUUCCAGGCACUCCUGCAUGGAGGAGAGAAAGCCAUUGGAAAUGUUUGGUCUCUUAUAUGACGGUAUAGAAGGAACUGCAGAACUUGGCUGGCAAGGCAGAGUUUGAUAAGCACUCAGGGUCUCUAUAAAACAGAUUGUUUGUUUGGCAGUUGUUGACUUCUUUGGAAUCAGUAAUUACCAGGGCUGAGGAGCAGGACUAAAGUUAUAUUUUACAGGUUAAAUAAUCCUCUCCUAAAAGAUGUGCAGCUUUUGAAAUAUCCAAAAUAAUCUAGGCUGUCAAAGUAAAAUAGCAAAGGUAUCAGCAACUGACUUUUUUUGGCUGGAUUUUCUUCCUCUGUUGAGCAAUAAGGUCUGUAGACAACAAAAAAAAAUUCUGAGAGCUCCACAAGAGAGUGGCUGCCAAAUACAACAGAGGUUUCCUGUGCAAAUCUAGAGAGCCAGGCUUCAGUCAGCCUUAUGUCAAUUGCUGGAAUUUGCUUACCUCUGCAUUUUGUUUGACUGGGUGUGCUUCAGGCCCACAGGGGUAACCAGUUUUAAUUUUGUGAAUUAUGAAUUUUCAGUUUAGAUGGAAAAAAAUGGAAAUAGUGUAAAAGAAAACCAACCCUAUUAAAUGGUUUGAGAUAAAUGUCGUGUGGUGUACUUUUACUUGUAUGCUGCCAUUUAUUACUAAGAGCCCACAAGCACAAGAACUCUAAUACUGUUGUAUUUAUAAACUAUUUCCAUGGGCAGUGCUGCAGGUUCUUCCUGUUUUGUUUUCCUUGAAGCCAAUUGAUGAAAGGUAAUUUCUGGGUAUUGCUCUUUUAUGAUGUUGUAACAAGAAGUGUUUUGUUCCCCACUAGCAGACCUUCCUAGCAGCUCUGGUGGCAGGUAUCUGGCACCAGCUGCUUAGUUGUGUCAUUUUCCUUGUUAUUCUCUUCCUCGGGUACAUGUGUUGAUGUCAUAAGACAGAUUUCUCACCUGUUUAUCCCAUGUUGUGGGUGUAAGACUCUUAUGGGUUUGUGCAGGAAGUGUGGGGAAGAAACCGGUGUAACACAAAAUAAAAUGGAAUAAAUAUGAAAGUUCUGUGACAAACCCUUCUGUUUGAUAUGGACUCAUCAAAAAAAAAAUUUUUUCUCUGCAACAUACUAUCUGCACUUCAGCUGUAAGCUAGGCUAUUUGCUGCUUGGGAAGUCCAAGGGAAAUAAACAUUUUGUGCUUACUUUGUCACACUUUAGAUUAAACAGCCUUUCAGUAUAGAUCCUCCUCUGACUCAGGAUGCCCUGAUGUCAAAAAACACAGUCACCUGAAAUGAAAUUGGAAUAAUCUUGAAACAAAAUCACUGAAGCUUUAAUUUCCUUUUCUAUUUGUGGAUGCAUGUGGAAUAAUAAUAAUAAUUUUUCUUCAUAACUUCAAGCUGAAAGAUAGCUUUUCACAUCUAUCAAGAUUUUCCUUCAAAUGCAUUUAAUCUUUUAUGCUGGAUUCCUAAGGGGGAAAUUAAUAAUAGGAACAGGGGAAUGACAAAGGACCUCCGCAAGGAGAGAGGAAAAUUCUAAAAAUUAGUUUUUUGUCUUUGUGUGACUUUGAAAGCUAAAGGACAGCUGAGUUUUCCGGCAGAAAAAGAAGCAGGAGGCAUGUAUAAAAAAUACAGGAGGCAGCACAGGAGAGUCAAGACAAAGAUGCAAGUUCCUUCUUUUGGAUUUAGGGGUCAGCCUUGAUUGAAUGAGUUUCCAUGAAGUCAGCUCCUAAGUCAUCCUAUCCACACUCUGAGAGGUGCUUUGGAAUAGAAAACAGGAGUGGCUGGAGCCUAAUGAUUCAUACCCAGGUGGUCCUCAGAGGAGGGAGAAGGUGAAGAAAAGCAAACCAGUAACUUGAGCUUAGUAAUACUGAAGAAAAGAAAUCUCUUUGGUAAGAGAGAAUACCGACUGUGAGAGAAUUGGA